rnacentral:rRNA from 1 species
AUCAGCACCCAUAUCACCCUGCAACUCACAACUGGUAACCCAAUGAAGCUAAGCAGGUGUGAGCCUGGUUAGUACCUGGAUGGGAGAUGGGAGACCUCUUGGGAAAAACUAAGGUUGCUGCUGGAA